UCCCCAUUUUGCUGCUUGUUAUUAAUAAUAAUAAUGAAAUAUAACAGAAUUGUGUGUUGGAGAUAAAUGUAAAGAAUUGUUAUUUCUCAGCAUAUGUUCCAAUAGCCUCACAGUCAGAGGUCUGGGUGCAAGAAUGGGUUAAAUUAGGGCUUAUGGGGGCAGAUUGGGGUGCAGACAGCUGGUGUAUAUGUAGGUAUAGAGUUGGGGUGCAGACAGCUGGUGUAUAUGUAGGUAUAGAGUUGGGGUGCAGACAGCUGGUGUAUAUGUAGGUAUAGAGUUGGGGUGCAGACAGCUGGUGUAUAUGUAGGUAUAGAGUUGGGGUACAGACAGCUGGUGUAUAUGUAGGUAUAGAGUUGGGGUGCAGACAGCUGGUGUAUAUGUAGGUAUAGAGUUGGGGUGCAGACAGCUGGUGUAUAUGUAGGUAUAGAGUUGGGGUGCAGACAGCUGGUGUAUAUGUAGGUAUAGAGUUGGGGUGCAGACAGCUGCUGUAUAUGUAGGUAUAGAGUUGGGGUGCAGACAGCUGGUGUAUAUGUAGGUAUAGAGUUGGGGUACAGACAGCUGGUGUAUAUGUAGGUAUAGAGUUGGGGUGCAGACAGCUGGUAGGUAUAGAGUUGGGGUGCAGACAGCUGGUGUAUAUGUAGGUAUAGAGUUGGGGUGCAGACAGCUGGUGUAUAUGUAGGUAUAGAGUUGGGGUGCAGACAGCUGCUGUAUAUGUAGGUAUAGAGUUGGGGUGCAGACAGCUGGUGUAUAUGUAGGUAUAGAGUUGGGGUACAGACAGCUGGUGUAUAUGUAGGUAUAGAGUUGGGGUGCAGACAGCUGGUGUAUAUGUAGGUAUAGAGUUGGGGUGCAGACAGCUGCUGUAUAUGUAGGUAUAGAGUUGGGGUGCAGACAGCUGGUGUAUAUGUAGGUAUAGAGUUGGGGUACAGACAGCUGGUGUAUAUGUAGGUAUAGAGUUGGGGGUGCAGACACCUGGUGUAUAUGUAGGUAUGGAGUUGGGGUGCAGACAGCUGCUGUAUAUGUAGGUAUAGAGUUGGGGUGCAGAGAGGUGGUGUAUAUGUAGGUAUAGAGUUGGGGUUCAGACAGCUGGUGUAUAUGUCGGGUAUAGAGUUGGGGUACAGAGAGGCGGUGUAUAUGUAGGUAUAGAGUUGGGGUGCAGACAGCUGGUGUAUAUGUAGGUAUAGAGUUGGGGUGCAGAUAGCUGGUGUAUAUGUCGGGUAUAGAGUUGGGGUGCAGACAGCUGGUGUAUAUGUAGGUAUAGAGUUGGGGUGCAGACAGCUGGUGUAUAUGUAGGUAUAGAGUUGGGGUGCAGACAGCUGGUGUAUAUGUAGGUAUAGAGUUGGGGUGCAGACAGCUGGUGUUUAUGUAGGUAUAGAGUUGGGGUGCAGACAGCUGGUGUAUAUGUAGGUA